rnacentral:lncRNA from 1 species
CGUCUCUACUAAAAAUACAAAAAUUAGCCAGGUGUGGUGGCGAGCACCUGUAAUCCCAGCUACUUGGGAGGUUGAGGCAGAAGAAUUGCUUGAACCCAGGAGGUGGAGGUUGCAGUGAGCUGAGAUCAUGCCAUUGCACUCCAGCCUGGGUGACAAGUGCAAGCCUCCAUCUCAAAAAAUUGUAUAGGGAAGUGUGAUAAUCUUUAGAGCUGUUCACCAAAUGCUUCUCCUCAUGGUAAAUGUGUGCUUCCUGGUCCUUUUUGAAAUCAGCUAUGGCCAUGACUUGCUUUAGCCAAUACAAUUUGAACAGAAGUGGCCUGUGUCCCUUCUGGGCAGAAAUUUAAAAAUCCAGUGCAGAUUUUGCACAUUCCCUUUUCCCAUUUGCAAGCAUAGAUUUGGUGAAGCAUCCCUCUACUUAGAUGGCUGAGUGAUUAGGAUGACAGAGCCCUCUUUCCAUUCCCUCCCAUAUCUACCUGCACUGGAGGUGUGCAUAAGGGCAAAAUAUUAAUGUGUUUGUACCUCAGAGAUUUUGUGGCUGUUUGUUACUGCAGCAUAACUGAGGCCAUCCUGACUGAUAUGAGACACAAACCUGCUUGGACAAGCAGUAACCGGGAAAAGAGUGGAUUGUAAUAGGAAUAGUACUGGUUGGAGUGGGAGUCCCAGAUUUGUCAACUUAUGUGGUGAACUUGGGCAUCUCAGUUUAUUAUACUGGAAAUCAAGGAGGAAUAGAUCCCUAUUUCUCAGUCAUGCUCUGGAGACAGAGCUCUUGAAGGUCCUAGUAUUCCUAGCAGGAUUCAGGAAUUAUUGUGUUAAAUGAAAAAUAACUGUUCAUUACAUUCUGCUAAGUCUCAUUCAUCUAAAAUGAAAUAAAGACAGGAGAUAAACAUUAAAUAUGGUAGAAAACUGCUUUUUAGGAAAACUUAAAUUCAAUAAUUAUUAAUGUACUUAUUUAAUUCCCCCUCACUCAAACCACACUACCUACAAACUAGGAAGAUUUUAUGAAUUUUUGGAUUUCCUACUAGGACAUCUUGCCUAGCACCAAGACAGAAGCAUUUUGUGGGGCUGUGAUUCAAGAAUUUCCAGACUAUAUGAAUGAUUUCCUAUUUCUUUUCUGCUAUCAUGCCCCAGAAUUCUGAGUCUGUGAAUCCCAAACCUUUCCUAACGUGUUUUUGGAGCUCCCUUUUAGCGAAAAAUGCCACUUGUGGCUAGUGAGGUGAUAGAUGACUAAAAUAAUUGACUCCGAAGACUUACAAAAAAUGAUAAACAAGCUAGUUAAGAAAACAGAAAGACAGGCCAAGGUGCUUGUAGGUAGAGUGAGUGAGGAGACAGGUGUAAUGUGAACUGCAGAGUGAGCACUGGUGGUUCCAGGUCUCUCCAUUUCUCCAGAUGGGCCUACUUCUGUCUAUUACCUUGACCACCGUCUACUCUUAUCUGAUCUGUUUUCCUAAUUUCCCCAAAAGUAUCCUUGCUGCCCAGGGCCAGGACCAGGGUGAGGCAAGGUAGGCAGCUGGGGCAUCACAUUUAGGUAAGCACUCACUCUAAGGUAGAGGGAACAGCACAAGUAAAGAGCCUGGGGCAGAAGUGGCCUUGCAUGCUCAAGGAAUGGAACAGGGGCCAGUACAUUUGAUGUGUUGUGGGAAAGAUGGGAGAUGGGAACAAAGUCCAGAUUACGCAGUGCCUUGGAGACCACAGAAAGGGCUUCAGGUUUUACUCAAAGCACAGUGAAAAAAUAUUGAGGAAGCUUUUGCAGAGGAAAAACAUGGUUAGAUAAAUAUUGUAAAAAUAUUGUUCCAUCUGCUCUGUGGAACAUAGUGUGGCAGGGGCAUGAGUUGACCAAAGAAGACCAGUGAGAGGCCACAGUGAUGUUCAAGGUGAGAGAUGCUGGUAGUCUGAACCUGGGUGAAAGCAGGAAGAAGAGGACAAUUGCAAUAUGUAUUUUGAUGAAAUAAAAUUAUGUAAUUGAUUUCAUUGUUCAGACAUUGUUGAUUAUUUG